UUAAACGUACGGUAAGAAGUAAAAUUUUCAACAAUUCCCCACAAUCUGCAUCCAUAGAAACGCAUUAGUUCAAAGAACAACUUCACGGUGCCGAAAAAUUUGUCCGAGAAACUUACCUCAAUCUCAGAUGUUCUGCUUGUGGUCGAUGAAGAUGCAGCUUCGUGCCCGUUGCGUUGGGGAUGAAGACAGAGACGUUACGUUCGUGAAGGUAUCGAUGUCGCGUCGCAUCUGAAAUCAAGGUGGAGACGUUCGUGAUGAAGACUCCUGAUUCGUGCGUUUGCUGAGACCGAAGAGGAAAAAGCGCUUCUCCGAAGAAGCCUGUUGCGAUCCACGGCACGGCCCCUUGACUCCGGCGUCCCUUCGCGUGAGGAAGAUUGGAAGAUGGAAGUGCAGAGUACGAUUCUUCCUCUUGCUGUAAGGUUGAAAUUGGCUUGCUUGAUGUAUAGCCAUCGUUUGCUGCAGGUUCAAGCAUUGUCCGGGUUGAAUGCGAAUGCCACACCACCUCAUACGGAUGACCACGUCCUUGCUUCUUCUUGAACUUAAUCCAAAGUAACAAGUAGAAGUGUAAAGUGCCCUCUAUUAGAACCAUGUGUAGUGUAAUGCUUGUAAAUAAACCCCUAUUUAGGUUGCUCUUGUGUAAUAGAAAAACCAAAAUGUGAGUGAUUUUUAAAGUGGUGAAUCCAAUUUUAGAUCAAUUCCAAAUGUUUUAAUAUGCAUGAACCAAAUACAUAAGAUGUGUAUGAAAGGGAUGUCAUGGGUUCAUCUUAAAAGGAACACCUUUGACUUGUUGACUUUGGUCAAAGUUGACCAAGAGUCAAUUGUUGAUCAAAGUCAACUUUUGGUCAAAAUUGUGUUUUGAUGUGUAAUUUUUGUAGGAAUGAUGUAAAUGAUAUUUGUACGGUUGAGUUGACAAAUUUCGGAUGAAAACACUCCUUUAUGAUUCAA